UACCGGAACGUUCCCUGCAGGUUAUUUUUAGGUUUUUUAUUUAUAACCUAAAGAGAACCUUCCCAGAACGUUCCCUGCAGGUUAUUUUUAGGUUUUUUAUUUAUAACCUAAAGAGAACCUUCCCGGAACGUUCCCUGCAGGUUAUUUUUAGGUUUUUAUUUAUAACCUAAGGGGAACCUUCCCGGAACGUUCCCUACCUCCUGAAAAAAACAGCUUAACCAGGCUAAGCUGGUUGGUUUUAGCUGGUUUAAGAUGGAAAUAGCUGGCCAGGCUGGUCAAGCUGGUUUCCCAGCCUGGUCAAGGUGGUCUCCCAGGCUGGCCAAGCUGGUCUCCCAGGCUGACCAGGCUGGUCAAGCUGGUCUCCCAGCCUGGCCAGGCUGGUAUUAUGGCUGGUCAAGCUGGUCUCCCAGCCUGGCUGGUUAAGCUGGUCACCCAGCCUGGCCAGCUUAAACCAGCUAAGACAAGUCAGCCUGACCACCAAGCAGGCAUGACCAACCUUCAACGUUGAAAUUUGGUUAAAAUAACCUCAGUUGUUUUUUCAACACUGAUACAAUGUUGAAACAACGGUGAAUGGUAAACGAUUGCAAAAGGUUAAUACAAUGCUUAAAAAUCAACGUUGAAAUUUGGUCAGUACGGUGAAUGGUAAACGGUUGUUUUAUGACAUUUUAAUUUGUGAAUCCUUUAGAUAAAAAUGUAAAAACUCAUUUAAUGAAAAUACUUAUUUUUAUAAAAUUUAACAAAAGUAAUUGAUCAAGUUAAAAAUAUAUUAGACACAUGCAAAUAAAUCAUCUUUGUAUCUUUAUUUUUCCCUUUAAAAACAAGUGCCUUUUUGGUAAAUAUUUUUCUAGGUUCCUCAUAUUAUAUAAUGUUUAAGAAGCUAAAAAUAUUUUUUGUAUAAUAUUUGAUUGAUUUUAACACUGGUGGGGCAUUUGAUUUCCAUGUUAAUUUAGGAGAUGGAUUAGGCUAUUUUUGUAAGCAUUAUUAUGGUUGUUUUAUUAUAUUUUCAUCACAAUGUCUAAAAUAUAACGUUUCAAAUAUAAAUUUUAAGAAUACCAUUAAUAAUAUAAUAACAUACAACCUUUUAUCUGCUUUCUUUACGGUGCACAGACAGCUCCCUCAGCCUUUUGUAAGCAAAACAUGCCCAUGCGGGCCCACUGUGAGGUAUACUGUGGGACAGUGUGGGCAGGGCAAACUUACACCACAUCCCAAAUGGGCCCCCAAAUUAUCAUUGGUUGUUAUUAUCUUAGCAGAUCAUUUUCUUUUGAUGUUUGUUGUUGUUAAAUCAAAAACCAGUUACUACACUUUUAUUAUAAUAAAACAAAUUUUUUUAUAUACAGCUCUGUCCAUUUAGAACAAAAUGUGCAUGCAUGUUUAUGAAAUAAUUGAACCCACCCCCGGGUGAAGAUCUAAAAAGCUAUGUUUUAAAAGCACAAUAUUUCUGUUUAUUUUAAUACAAGAAAUGUUUAUUGUUAAAAAAGUUCUAAUUUUCAGUUCAGUCUGGACGUGGGACAUCUUUCUUACCAUCUUUAUUGUUCUUUAACAUGUUGUCUUUUGUUAUGUGUUAUUAGCCAUGUUCGACUUCGUGCAGCACUGCGAGAACCGACAUCAUACGUUGAUGACGUCAAUGUAUCGCGAGAGCGAGUCAAGAAAUUACACUCUCGCGAUACAUUGACGUCAGCGCAGCAAGAAGUCGAACACACGUAUUUGCGUGCGCGCGCCUCGGUCCUCGUGAGGUCAAAGUGGAUUUUAACCGUUUACCUCAGACGACAGUUUUCAUUUCUAUGGCAAAUUCUAAGGUCAUUUUCUUGUUGUGUUGUGAUGUUUUCCAUUGGCUGAAGAGCAGAAUACCAUGCAAUUUGAAGAAGUGUGAUAAAAUACACAGAGGUGAAGUCAUGUGUCUUUCCAGAUGCCCAAAUCUGUACCACUCAAAAGCCUGAAGAGGAGAUUUGGGAAGAUGCUGUUUUAUAAGUCUUUGCUUUGCCAGAUCACCUGUGGUCGGGAUGUCUGCUAACAAGAUGCCUUGUUGGUCUGGGCGAGUUUGAAGUCUCUCACAGACAGUCCAGAAGGUCUGGAGUCCAUGUUAGCUUUUAUUGAUCAACUACAUACGGUCCCUUGGGGGAGCCAACCCAGGUGAAGUCCACUGAUGUCCUGAGUGCCUACAGCAUGAAAGGGAGGAAGGAAUCAACACAGAAAAACUACAAGGCAUUAAAGGCCCUUGACGUGGAAGACUUAAUUGCAUUAGCCCUGAAAUUUGCCCCACACAGAAAUUUAAAAUGCCUCCCUCAUAAUCAUACCAUGGACAAGGACAUGGUCAGCUAGAGUGGCUUAAAUUUCAUCUGAGACUGCUUGUCACCUUUCACCAUGUCCUCCUCCUCUUCCUCCUCCUUCAACAAGUCCUCUUCCUCCUCCUUCUUUCCCUCCUCCUCCUCAAACUAUUACUUCAUUUUUCUGUGAAUCCAUUCUUCCAAAGCUCAGUGAACUGAUUCAGGUCCUUUAUCUAUCUAUUGAAGGAUUUGAUGCUGUUCAGUUUUGACUCUUAGUGUUUCCACCUUGGUAACUGUUUGCUAAUUGAACCUUAGCUGUGCUGACUUGAGUGAACAGUAUUGAAUGCUAGUGCUUUCCAUAUGACCACAUGGUGUAAGCCCCGAGAGAUGUAGGGAUUUGUGUGUAGAGUUUUGAAGUAAAACUUCACCAAAUCUAACUCAUGUGUUAAAGCAGGGGAGUAGUGUUUAUUGUUCAGCAAAUUGAUUUUGAAUGAUUGUGCUUCUUGAAAAAUGGCGUUAUGGUUUUGAAAUUUUAGUUCAAAAGCCUGUUUAUAGUGUUUCCGCAAUCGAGAAAAACUGUAAAACAACUGCAUGCUAUUUUUUUACAUAAUCUGUUCGGUUGUCAGACAUGAAACGAGUAUACUAUAAAGUAGUGACAACACGACCCAGAAACACCUUGUGUUCAAUUUAACCAGUUGUUCCUUUAACUGCUGCUAAAAUCCUGAUUUAUAAACGCGACAUCGUCUGAAGCGCUUGCAACAGCCGUUUACCAGUAAAAUAUAAAUGUAAAUUGGAACCACCAUACUCAAUCCCACAGCGACAUCUUAAAAUAAAAACUCGUUUCAAUCUGUAUAAAAACUGUACUAUUGCAGUAUUAAACUUUUACCAACUUGUAGCAGUCGAAGUAACAAACAAAAACUUUUGAAUAGAUUUAUUCUAAAAAUACUAAGGUAAAAGAGAAUCAUUUUGCUGAUUAAAUCAGUUGUUGUAGAGAAAAUAGCCUACUUUUAAAGAAACCAUGCGUAAAAGAUAGCAUACUUUUAAAAAUGAUGGUGUGAAACUUUUUUACUUUUAUACACUUUAUCAUAUUGGUUUAAUAACUCUGCUUGUUCGAAUCUGUAUAUAUAUAUAUAGCCUAUAUAGUUUAAAAUAAAAUGUCGUAAAGAAUCAUUAUCAAAAUUACUACUAAUAUCCUGGCGCUGAACUUUUUCUUGUUUGUAUGUCUCUUGUUUUUCAGUAUACCAAUAUAAUUAUUUAAAAUGAAAUAUUCUUCUGAUAACCAAACUGCAGCGCACUAAAUAUAUUUAAAACUUUUUACGAAGAAGUAGGCCUACACAAAACGCGUCUCAAAUCUGUAUAUGCAUUUUUAUCAGACCAUUUGACGGGGUCGUGCAACUUAAUGAUAAUACUUUUGUCAUUGAAUUGUUCAUCUAAAUGUUUAAUCUAAUGUUACACUAACUUACGUUGCCUUUAUUGUUUGUUACUU